rnacentral:rRNA from 1 species
CCUACGGGUGGCAGCAGUGGGGAAUAUUGUUCAAUGGACGAGAGUCUGAACCAGCCAAGUAGCGUGAAUGAUGACUGCCCUCUGGUUUGUAAGCUUCUUUUGUGGAGAAAUAAAACGAAGCGCUUGUACCUUUUUGCAUGUACUUUAUGAGUAAGGAUAGGCUAGCUCCGUUCCAGCAGCCGCGGUAAUACGGAGGAUCCGGGCGUUAUCCGGAUUGAUUGUGUUUAAAGUGAGCUUAGAGGGGUUGUCAAGUCAGUUGUGAAGGUUUGCGGCUCAACCGGAAAACUGCAAUUGAUACUGGCAGGCUGGAGUAUAGUAGAGGUGGGUGGAAUUCGAGGUGUAGCGGUGAAAUGCUUAUAUAUCACGAAGAAUACCGAUUGCGAAGACAG